GUGGCCCCAAGUCAGGCGAGGCUCACCGCCGAGUUUAAGCAUAUCAAU
rnacentral:rRNA from 1 species